AUUGAACGCUGGCGGCAUGCCUUACACAUGCAAGUCGAACGGUAACAGGUCUUCGGAUGCUGACGAGUGGUGAACGGGUGAGUAAUACAUCGGAACGUGCCUAGUAGUGGGGGAUAACUACUCGAAAGAGUGGCUAAUACCGCAUGAGAUCUACGGAUGAAAGCAGGGGAUCGCAAGACCUUGUGCUACUAGAGCGGCAGAUGGCAGAUUAGGUAGUUGGUGGGAUAAAAGCUUACCAAGCCGACGAUCUGUAGCUGGUCUGAGAGGACGAUCAGCCACACCGGGACUGAGACACGGCCCAGACUCCUACGGGAGGCAGCAGUGGGGAAUUUUGGACAAUGGGCGAAAGCCUGAUCCAGCAAUGCCGCGUGCAGGAUGAAGGCCUUCGGGUUGUAAACUGCUUUUGUACGGAACGAAAAGCCCCGGGUUAAUACCCUGGGGUCAUGACGGUACCGUAAGAAUAAGCACCGGCUAACUACGUGCCAGCCGCCGCGGUAA
rnacentral:rRNA from 1 species